GAAAGGAUUUAUGAUUUAGGUCAAAGAUUUGAGAGCACAUAUGAUGAGGAAGAUGAGGCUUUCUUACUCACUGUCUAGGAAAUAAUUCUCCUGGCUGUGAGAAGGAGAAAAAAGAACAAAAAUGUUGGUAGGGCACAGAGAAGGACCUGGGCUUAACCUUCUGGACCAAGUUCCAGGGAGCAGCAAAACCUCAAUUACAUUUGUCCCCUAGAAUGGAAAUGAUUAUGUGGUAUGUUUAGGCAGUGGGACCUUGGACAACGCCAGUGAGCUUCCUCCAGCCCAAUGUGGUCAACAUUGGAGGAUUAGAUUGAUUUCUGUGAACCCAAAAGGAUCACAGGAGUAGCAAUAACACCUGCUGGACCUGAAUGAGGAUCUUUUCCAUUCAAUCCACAUGUUCUCUCAAUGGAAAUCAAUUCGGACAAUAACAUUAGACCAUCUUAACCCAGAGUGCCUUAGCACUAGAUAAGCCUCUGCUGUGGUCUGGAUGUUUGUGCCCAGCCCCUAAUUUCAUAUAUUGAAACCUAACCCCCAAGGUACCAGUAUUAAGAGGUACGGCUCUGAGGAGGUGAUUAGGUCAUGAGGCUCCAUCCUGGUGAAUGGGAUUAGGACCCUUAUGAAAGAGGCUUCAGGGAACCUGUUUGCCCCUUCUGCCUUGUGAGGAUGCAGCAAGAAGUUGCCAUCUUUGAAGCAGAGAGCAAGCCCUCACCAGAAGCUAAAUCUGCUGGCAUCUUGAUCGUACAC
rnacentral:lncRNA from 10 species